rnacentral:lncRNA from 1 species
GAGCCUGAGUCAAGAAUUCUAAUGUCCCAACUGUAAAACAGUCUCCUGGAGGAAGCUUUGGAGAUUGGAGAUUUUCCAUCUGUCUACCAGGUUUCUGGCCCUUUGGAAGAUACCAGCUUGAGUGAGAGAAAACCUGUUUGGAGUGGCUGCUGGCAGCUAGACAGAAGACCACAGAAGAAUCACUUCUCUACUGGACCUACUUUGGACAUUUUCUUCUGGGAUCUUGGCUCAUACACUGGACUCUAUUUUGUGAAAUCCAGUUUAAAUGAACAUCGAAGGGGAAAGAUCAUCAUUAAAGGUAAACCUACAAUCUGAAGAAUAUGUGUGAAAGGAAGUGAGAAGGGGCAGAGUUUCAUUUUUGUGCCCAGAUAAUAAGGGAAUGGGGUGGAAUUCACGAGAGGGGUGUAUGUGUGUAUGUGUAUGUGUGUGUGUGUGCAUGUGUGCAUGCUGUGUACACUUCAGAGGUUUUUCUAGCAUAUUGCUUUGUUUGUAGCAAGAGAUGGUGGCCAAGUCCUUCUUUUUCUCUCUUUUCUUAAGGUCCUGUCUAAUCUCAGUUAUUUAGAUUUUUCUCAAAGUUCAGACUCUAACCUUGGGACAGCUUAAUGGACAGGGUGCAUCUUGGGUGUAUUAUCAAGACUUCAGGUAAAUAAAUCUAAGUCUCAUUUUCUCA